rnacentral:rRNA from 1 species
GUUUUUUCCACUCAUUGGUACAAACUCCAAAACUUCUUCCAAAUUCGACCUCAAAUCAGGUAGGACUACCCGCUGAACUUAAGCAUAUCAAUAAGCGGAGGAAAAGAAACCAACAGGGAUUGCCUUAGUAGCGGCGAGUGAAGCGGCAAAAGCUCAAAUUUGAAAUCUGGCACUUUCAGUGUCCGAGUUGUAAUUUGAAGAAGGUAUCUUUGGGUCUGGCUCUUGUCUAUGUUUCUUGGAACAGAACGUCACAGAGGGUGAGAAUCCCGUGCGAUGAGAUGUCCCAGACCUAUGUAAAGUUCCUUCGAAGAGUCGAGUUGUUUGGGAAUGCAGCUCUAAGUGGGUGGUAAAUUCCAUCUAAAGCUAAAUAUUGGCGAGAGACCGAUAGCGAACAAGUACAGUGAUGGAAAGAUGAAAAGAACUUUGAAAAGAGAGUGAAAAAGUACGUGAAAUUGUUGAAAGGGAAGGGCUUGAGAUCAGACUUGGUAUUUUGUAUGUUACUCUCUCGGGGGUGGCCUCUACAGUUUACCGGGCCAGCAUCAGUUUGAGCGGUAGGAUAAGUGCAAAGAAAUGUGGCACUGCUUCGGUAGUGUGUUAUAGUCUUUGUCGAUACUGCCAGCUUAGACUGAGGACUGCGGCUUCGGCCUAGGAUGUUGGCAUAAUGAUCUUAAGUCGCCCGUCUUGAAACACGGACCAAGGAGUCUAACGUCUAUGCGAGUGUUUGGGUGUAAAACCCGUACGCGUAAUGAAAGUGAACGUAGGUAGGACCUCCUUUAGGAGUGCACUAUCGACCGAUCCUGAUGUC